rnacentral:rRNA from 1 species
AGAGUUUGAUCAUGGCUCAGGACGAACGCUGGCGGCGCGCUUAACACAUGCAAGUCGAACGGUGAACCGGGCUUCGGCCCGGGGAUCAGUGGCGAACGGGUGCGUAACACGUGGGCAACCUGCCCCAGACUCUGGGAUAACUCCGGGAAACCGGGGCUAAUACCGGAUACUCCGCCUGGACCUCAUGGUCCGGUCGGGAAAGCUCCGGCGGUCUGGGAUGGGCCCGCGGCCUAUCAGCUUGUUGGUGGGGUAACGGCUCACCAAGGCUUCGACGGGUAGCUGGUCUGAGAGGACGGCCAGCCACACUGGGACUGAGAUACGGCCCAGACUCCUACGGGAGGCAGCAGUGGGGAAUCUUGCGCAAUGGGCGAAAGCCUGACGCAGCGACGCCGCGUGGGGGACGAAGGCCUUCGGGUUGUAAACCCCUUUCGGCAGGGACGAAGCGAUCGUGACGGUACCUGCAGAAGAAGCUCCGGCUAACUACGUGCCAGCAGCCGCGGUAAUAC